rnacentral:lncRNA from 1 species
GCUCGCUUGUACUCAGCAUGUGCUCUCUGGAACUCGAGUUUCCUGAAAGGCUGAAGCUCUGCAUCAUUGCACCGCUGAAACCGCCGACGAAAUGCACGGACUCGCCGACGCUGCACCCUAAGCUCCUGGGACCACCAGGGAACCGAUCUAUGCGACCUUGGCUUACUGCUAAUGAGCGUGCGAUCUGCAACGCUUCUAACAGUCGCCGUCAGCUUGUCGACAAGCAGCCAACCUAGCGACGGCUCUUGCAAGAAUAGGGUAUGAAAGUGAUGUUGUGGUGGAUUGGGGAGAGGCGAGAGUUG